rnacentral:rRNA from 1 species
GGCUCUGACUGCCAAAGAUUUAUCGCUCUGAGAUGGACUCGCGUCUGAUUAGCUAGUUGGCGGGGUAACGGCCCACCAAGGCGACGAUCAGUAGCCGGACUGAGAGGUUGACCGGCCACAUUGGGACUGAGACACGGCCCAGACUCCUACGGGAGGCAGCAGUGGGGAAUAUUGGGCAAUGGGCGCAAGCCUGACCCAGCAACGCCGCGUGAAGGAUGAAGGCCCUCGGGUUGUAAACUUCUUUAUUCACGGACGAACAAAAUGACGGUACUGAAUGAAUAAGCCACGGCUAACUACGUGCCAGCAGCCGCGGUAAUACGUAGGUGGCAAGCGUUAUCCGGAUUUACUGGGUGUAAAGGGCGUGUAGGCGGGACUGCAAGUCAGAUGUGAAAACCAGGGGCUCAACCUCUGGCCUGCAUUUGAAACUGUAGUUCUUGAGUGCUGG